AUUGAACGCUGGCGGCAGGCCUAACACAUGCAAGUCGAGCGAGCGGCGGACGGGUGAGUAAUGUCUGGGAAACUGCCUGAUGGAGGGGGAUAACUACUGGAAACGGUAGCUAAUACCGCAUACCAUCAGAUGUGCCCAGAGGGGAUGGGCUAGUUGGUGGGGUAACGGCUCACGUAGGCGACGAUCCCUGCCUGGGCUGAGAGGAUGACCGUCCACACGGGAACUGCGACACGUCCCAGACUCCUACGGGAGUCAGCAGUGGGGAAUAUUGCACAAUGGGCGCAAGCCUGAUGCAGCCCUGCGGCGUGUAUGAAGAAGGCCUUCGGGUUUAAAAGUCCUUUCAGCGGGGAGGCGUUACCCGCAUAGGAAGCACCGGCUAACUCCGUGCCAGCAGCCGCGGUAAUUC
rnacentral:rRNA from 1 species